rnacentral:rRNA from 1 species
AACGUAGGGGACAAGCGUUAUCCGGAUUUACUGGGCGUAAAGCGCCCGUAGGCGGCCUGACAAGUUGGACGUGAAAGCUCCUGGCUUAACUGGGAGAGGCCGUUCAAAACUGUCAAGCUAGAGUCUGGAAGAGGAGAGCGGAAUUCCCGGUGUAGUGGUGGAAUGCGUAGAGAUCGGGAGGAACACCAGUGGCGAAAGCGGCUCUCUGGUCCAAAACUGACGCUGAGGGGCGAAAGCGUGGGGAGCAAACAGG